rnacentral:sRNA from 1 species
AAUGCAGAGAAAUACUGGCGCGCCACUC